GCAUAUCAAUAAGCGGAGGAAAAGAAACCAACGGGAUUGCCUCAGUAACGGCGAGUGAAGCGGCAAGAGCUCAAAUUUGAAAGCUGGCCCCCCCCGGGGUCCGCGUUGUAAUUUGCAGAGGAUGCUUCGGGAGCGGCCCCCAUCUAAGUGCCCUGGAACGGGCCGUCAUAGAGGGUGAGAAUCCCGUCUGGGAUGGGGUGCCCGCGCCCGUGUGAAGCUCCUUCGACGAGUCGAGUUGUUUGGGAAUGCAGCUCUAAAUGGGUGGUAAAUUUCAUCUAAAGCUAAAUAUUGGCCGGAGACCGAUAGCGCACAAGUAGAGUGAUCGAAAGAUGAAAAGCACUUUGAAAAGAGAGUUAAACAGCACGUGAAAUUGUUGAAAGGGAAGCGCUUGCGACCAGACUCGCCCGCGGGGUUCAGCCGGCACUCGUGCCGGUGUACUUCCCCGCGGGCGGGCCAGCGUCGGUUUGGGCGGCCGGUCAAAGGCCCUCGGAAUGUAACGCCCCCCGGGGCGUCUUAUAGCCGAGGGUGCCAUGCGGCCAGCCCGGACCGAGGAACGCGCUCCGGCUCGGACGCUGGCGUAAUGGUCGUAAGCGACCCGUCUUGAAACACGGACCAAGGAGUCUAACAUCUACGCGAGUGUUCGGGUGUCAAACCCGUACGCGCAGUGAAAGCGAACGGAGGUGGGAACCCCCCCGGGGGCGCACCAUCGACCGAUCCUGAUGUCUUCGGAUGGAUUUGAGUAGGAGCGUAGCUGUUGGGACCCGAAAGAUGGUGAACUAUGCCUGAAUAGGGCGAAGCCAGAGGAAACUCUGGUGGAGGCUCGCAGCGGUUCUGACGUGCAAAUCGAUCGUCAAAUUUGGGUAUAGGGCGAAAGAC
rnacentral:rRNA from 1 species